rnacentral:tRNA from 1 species
GCGGAUAUGGCGGAACUGGUAGACGCGCCGGAUUUAGGUUCCGGUGCCGCAAGGCGUGGGGGUUCGACUCCCUCUAUCCGCACCA